rnacentral:rRNA from 1 species
GAUGAACGCUGGCGGCGUGCUUAACACAUGCAAGUCGAACGGAAAGGCCCCAGCUUGCUGGGGUACUCGAGUGGCGAACGGGUGAGUAACACGUGGGUGAUCCGCCCUGCACUUUGGGAUAAGCUUGGGAAACUGGGUCUAAUACCGAAUAUGACCACUUCUUGGAUGUUGUGGUGGAAAGCUUUUGCGGUGUGGGAUGAGCCUGCGGCCUAUCAGCUUGUUGGUGGGGUAAUGGCCUACCAAGGCGGCGACGGGUAUCCGGCCUGAGAGGGUGUACGGACACAUUGGGACUGAGUUACGGCCCAGACUCCUACGGGAGGCAGCAGUGGGGAAUAUUGCACAAUGGGCGCAAGCCUGAUGCAGCGACGCCGCGUGGGGGAUGAAGGCCUUCGGGUUGUAAACUCCUUUCGCUAUCGACGAAGCCACUUGUGGUGACGGUAGGUAGAUAAGAAGCACCGGCUAACUACGUGCCAGCAGCCGCGGUAA